rnacentral:rRNA from 1 species
UACGUAGGGUCCAAGCGUUGUCCGAAGUUACUGGGCGUAAAGCGCGCGCAGGUGGUCCACUAAGCCCGGCGUGAAAGCCCCCGGCUCAACCCGGGAGGGUCGUCGCGAACCGGCGGCUUGAGGCCGGUAGAGGUGGGUGGAACUCCUGGUGGAGUGGUGAAAUGCGUAGAGAUCAGGAAGAACACCCGUGGCGAAGGCGGCCCACUGGGCCGGUGCUGA